GAUGAACGCUGGCGGCGUGCCUAAUACAUGCAAGUCGAGCGAACGGACAAGAAGCUUGCUUUUCUGAUGUUAGCGGCGGACGGGUGAGUAACACGUGGAUAACCUACCUAUAAGACUGGGAUAACUUCGGGAAACCGGAGCUAAUACCGGAUAAUAUUUUGAACCGCAUGGUUCAAAAGUGAAAGACGGUCUUGCUGUCACUUAUAGAUGGAUCCGCGCUGCAUUAGCUAGUUGGUAAGGUAACGGCUUACCAAGGCAACGAUGCAUAGCCGACCUGAGAGGGUGAUCGGCCACACUGGAACUGAGACACGGUCCAGACUCCUACGGGAGGCAGCAGUAGGGAAUCUUCCGCAAAGGGCGAAAGCCUGACGGAGCAACGCCGCGUGAGUGAUGAAGGUCUUCGGAUCGUAAAACUCUGUUAUUAGGGAAGAACAUAUGUGUAAGUAACUGUGCACAUCUUGACGGUACCUAAUCAGAAAGCCACGGCUAACUACGUG
rnacentral:rRNA from 1 species